GAUGAACGCUCGCUACAGGCUUAACACAUGCAAGUCGAGGGGCAGCAUGGUCUUAGCUUGCUAAGGCCGAUGGCGACCGGCGCACGGGUGAGUAACACGUAUCCAACCUGCCGUCUACUCUUGGACAGCCUUCUGAAAGGAAGAUUAAUACAAGAUGGCAUCAUGAGUUCACGUGUUCACAUGAUUAAAGGUAUUCCGGUAGACGAUGGGGAUGCGUUCCAUUAGAUAGUAGGCGGGGUAACGGCCCACCUAGUCUUCGAUGGAUAGGGGUUCUGAGAGGAAGGGCCCCCACAUUGGAACUGAGACACGGUCCAAACUCCUACGGGAGGCAGCAGUGAGGAAUAUUGGUGAAUGGGCGAGAGCCUGAACCAGCCAAGUAGCGUGAAGGAUGACUGCCCUAUGGGUGGUAAACUUCUUGUAGAAAGGAAGAAAGUCGGGUAUGUAUACCCGUUUGCAUGUACUUUAUGAAUAAGGAUCGGCUAACUCCGUG
rnacentral:rRNA from 1 species